rfam:Capsicum annuum cultivar Zunla-1 chromosome 3, whole genome shotgun sequence
UAAUGGUGGUGUUGGAAAUCGCAAAGCAUGGACUUGAACCUAUCCCAGGCUUGAUAUAGAUUUUCACUAUCCUUCUGUUUAAAGGUAAAGAUCUCACUCUUUAAUUG